rnacentral:sRNA from 1 species
CAGCGUUCCGGAUCCUAGACGCUUUUUGACGGCUGGUGCUCCCCAGAAAAUGCGCCGUGUGAGCCCAAACAUGGUGGGGUAGAUCCAGUACGCUGGACCCCGAGCUUGCAGUCUGUGCUUCACAAAACACCAACAUCGUGUGCCCGUCUCCUCCCCCCGAGAUCGAGUAGUAACAGCCAUUCCAACUCUCCACCUCCAGCUUCUAGCACCAGGGACCGCCUCCACCACCCCAUGUGCCAAGUGGAGUUCGAGCUGGCGCGCGCGGCCCUCAAGCAGCUGAAGGGUCCCGUGAGCGAGCAGGAGAAGCUGCUGGUCUAUGGCUUGUACAAACAGGCCACCCAGGGCGACUGCGACAUCCCCGCCCCUCCGGCCUCAGACGUGAAAGCCAGGGCCAAGUGGGAGGCUUGGGGCGCGAACAAAGGGAUGUCCAAGAUGGACGCCAUGAGGGGCUACGCGGCCAGAGUGGAGGAGCUGACGAAGAAGGAAGUGGGGGGCAUGGAGCGCGAACAAAGGGGCGUCCAAGAUGGACGCCAUGAGGGGCCACGUGGCCAGAGUGAGGAGAUGAGGAAGAAGGCGGCUGGCUGAGGGCUCCUUGGGAAUGGAAAGGGCUUCCUAGACCUUGAUGGCUGAAAUGUCCUGAAACUGUCGCAAGCUUAGCCGAGACAUCAAUAAAUCACUUAAAGUGCAUGAGAGUGACCGACUGCUGUUGGAAAGGAGAAACUCGGUGACUGAGUGCUGGGGAAGCGUCCAAAUACACAGACUUGCUUUUUGUAUGGUUUUGGGUGGAGUUCCCAGCCCUCCUAUUACAAGAGCGUAUGUAGGUAUUUGGAAGGACCAGGGGGACAGUGGGCUGUGGAAAUGCCCAAGAUCUGAGGGCAGGAGACCAUUCUCCAGUGACAGCCUCUUGGGAGGCUGAGGCCCCAGCCCCUUAUCUCUUCAAGGCUGAUUCACUAAUACCCCAGCACCACAGAGGGGAGAGGGACUCUGUCCUCCCUAAACACUAAAGUCAAGUCCAAAAGCCCCACUGGAACACAGGGCCUACUGAGUUCAUGUUUUGAGGGAGACCAAGCUUUCCGUGAUGAUAGUGCGGUGAAACAGUUGAUGCCUCAGAACACAGCAGUGGAGAAACAAUGGAGCAGAUGGUGUCAAAAUCCCAGCCCCAGAAAGGCUCACCUAAGGCCGGGCAACCAAAAUGUUCUCGGGACUAUUCUGUACUUAACCCUGGUUUCUGCUUAGGGGACGGUGGGACAAUAUGCAUAUGGAUGUCUAUGUGGGAUUUGUUGCAAGAGCACAACACACCCCUUGACCUAUGCAAGUGCCAGAGUGUCUGAGCCCAGCUUCUACUCCUGUUAAUGAUCACGGGGGCCUCAAUACACAACCAUUGUGCAUGGUGGCUGGAGUAUGGAGUAGUAAAAGGUAUCCAGAAAGGCAGGUGUACAGUGGCAUAUGGGAUUUCCUGGUACUUCUUUAAUAGGAACUAUCUUCACAGAUCAGGAUAUCAGGUCAGCUCCAGUUCUUGCUGGGACCAAUAAACAAUAGAAGCAACCACCAUAGAGACUGAAGAGGACAAAGGAAACCAAACCUCACUGUGUGUCUUCAAGAUCUUCUGUUCACAUAGUUGCAGGAAGUUGCUGUAGACAAAGUAUGAAGAAUGAAGCCCACCCAGGACAUCACAGCAACGAAAGAACUAUUUCUGGUAACUGUAGACCAGGUGAGAGCCACACUGUAGAACAGCAGUGCUGCCCUCUCUUCUUUGGCGAAUGUUAUGAAGACAUUCUGAUGCACUGAGGAUCAUGAUUCAUGUUAAAUGUAAAUUAAUCGUAAAAAUAACACAUCUUGCUCCAAAAUGUGACAAUUUAGAAGCUGUCUAUAUAGCCAGACCACUCUAAAUCACAGAACCUAGAAAGUAAAAAUGUGCCAUAAUUAGGACAGCAGAAAGUAACAGUAAAGUAAAGUUUUAAAAAAGAGAGAAAAUAAGGAUUUAUCUAUUUGUAUUUGCUUAAGAAGGGGUUACCUAUAGGAUGCAGGGGGAAUGGGAUUGAUGGGCAUGGGGUAUACUGUGAAAGGAAAAUCUUGGGACCAAAUUCACUAAGCCAAAAGGAAAAGUUAAGCUUGGAAAUUGAGUUAUGGAAUAUGCAAAAAACUUUUCCUUUUGUUCCUAAACAGAUAAGCUACAAGACAGAAGGCCACAUAUCUCCCCAGGUGGUCUCCCUCACCUGACAAUAUAAAUUAACAGCUUAUCUUCAUAGGUAAGGGACAAAGACAACACCAGAAACCAUCCCUCACCAGCCCUGACACAAAACGUAGAUUUACUGAGCUGAAUGCAUAACUGUUCCUCUGCCCGCUGCUUUCACUGUAACAUAUAGAUUUGGUGAGCACUAAAUGUAGAUUUACUG